GAUGAACGCUGGCGGCGUGCUUAACACAUGCAAGUCGAACGGAAAGGCCCAAGCUUGCUUGGGUACUCGAGUGGCGAACGGGUGAGUAACACGUGGGUGAUCUGCCCUGCACUUCGGGAUAAGCCUGGGAAACUGGGUCUAAUACCGGAUAGGACCACUUCUUGGAUGUUGUGGUGGAAAGUUUUUUCGGUGUGGGAUGAGCUCGCGGCCUAUCAGCUUGUUGGUGGGGUAAUGGCCUACCAAGGCGUCGACGGGUAGCCGGCCUGAGAUGGUGUACGGCCACAUUGGGACUGAGGGACGGCCGAGGCGGCUACGGGAGGCAGCAGUGGGGAAUAUUGCACAAUGGGCGCAAGCCUGAUGCAGCGACGCCGCGUGGGGGAUGGCGGCCUUCGGGUUGUAAACUCCUUUCGCUAGGGACGAAGCGUUUUGUGACGGUACCUGGAGAAGAAGCACCGGCUAACUACGUG
rnacentral:rRNA from 1 species